rnacentral:rRNA from 1 species
UCUGAUUGAUCCUGCCAGUAGUUAUAUGCUUGUCUCAAAGAUUAAGCUAUGCAUGUCUAUGUAACACACGAAUUAACAGUGAAACCGCAAAAGGCUCAUUAUAUCAGUUAUGGUUCCUUAGAUCGUUAACAGUUACUUGGAUAACUGUGGUAAUUCUAGAGCUAAUACAUGCAAUUAAAACACGGACCUUUUGGAACGUGUGCUUUUAUAGGCUAAAACCAAGCGAUCGCAAGAUCGUUUUAUUGGUUGAACUCUAGAUAACAUGCAGAUCUUAUGGUCAUGUACCGACGACAGAUCUUUCAAAUGUCUGCCCUAUCAACUUUUGAUGGUAGUAUCUAGGACUACCAUGGUUGCAACGAGUAACGGGGAAUCAGGGUUCGAUUCCGGAGAGGGAGCCUGAGAAACGGCUACCACAUCUAAGGAAGGCAGCAGGCGCGUAAAUUACCCACUCCCAGCUCGUGGAGGUAGUGACGAAAAAUAACAAUACAGGACUCAUAUCCGAGGCCCUGUAAUUGGAAUAAGUACACUUUAAAUCCUUUAACAAGGACCUAUUGGAGGGCAAGUCUGGUGCCAGCAGCCGCGGUAAUUCCAGCUCCAAUAGCGUAUAUUAGAGUUGUAUUAUUGGAUAGAUAUCCCUGAUAUCCCUGAUAUGCAUAAAUUAUUAGAUAUAUAUAUUAAGAAAAAAAGAUAAUUGUGAAACUUUCAAGCCAAGAUGUGUUGUUUGUAAUAAUUUUAUUGUUACUACAUCGAGUAAACAAAUGGGUUUCCUUUUAUCGUAAAAUUUAACAAUUGCAUCCAGUGGAAAUUCGAUUCAUACAGAUGUAUGGACGAUUAGUACGCUGGAAAAAAAGUUUCUAAAAUUUUUGAAAUUAUUUUAAAUAUUUGUCAUAAUUGAAACUUUAACAUUUUACAUACUAUUUAAUAUAGUAUGUGACUUGUUUUACUUAAUAUAUUUUUAUCGCAUAAUUAUGUUUGCAAGUUAUGCAUAAUAUGCAUACAUAAUUUAUACAUAUAAGAAAUUAUCAAGUUUGUCAUCAAAAUUAAAGUGUUUAUUCCAUUAUGGUAUUAAACAAUGUGUGAUAAAAUAUAUUAAGUAAGUGUACAUAUAAAGAUAUUUUUGAACGAAUUGUAUAUAUUUUCAUAUAGAUAUAAUAUGUGGUGAAUCUUAAAAAAUGUGAAACGUAAAUUACCGAACAUGAAAUGCUAUGUAACCAUCUAUAUCUAUAGUAUUUUUUAUUCAAAAAUAUUAAGUUUGUAAUGUAAAUACAUUUUGUAAAUAUGUAUGUAUUUUUGUACAUACAAAUUAUAAAAAC